rnacentral:misc_RNA from 1 species
UCCUACUUAUCAUAGGCAGUUUCCUUAGAGUUCCCAACUGAAUGAUGGCAACUAAGGACGAGGGUUGCGCUCGUUGCGGGACUUAACCCAACAUCUCACGACACGAGCUGACGACAGCCAUGCAGCACCUGUGUGCACGCCACCCGAAGUGAAGAAAGUCAUCUCUGACGAUCAAACGUGCCAUGUCAAGGCCUGGUAAGGUUCUUCGCGUUGCCUCGAAUUAAACCACAUGCUCCACCGCUUGUGCGGGUCCCCGUCAAUUUCUUUGAGUUUUAAUCUUGCGACCGUACUCCCCAGGCGGGAUGCUUAACGCGUUAGCUACGUCACUGAGGGGGAACCCCCCAACAACUAGCAUCCAUCGUUUACAGCGUGGACUAC